rnacentral:lncRNA from 1 species
GGAGGACACGGGUUGUGGGCCCCUUGAGGGAUAAACAAGGGCAGUGUCUCACAUCUGUCUGAGCUUCUAAGAAGUCUCAGAGAGGUAGGGCUGAGAAGGAAAAACUGAGCAUAUGGCUUGAUCUAAUUACAGCUGUUUCCCUGGGGCUCCCAGCGGCUGCGUAUCUCUUAGGAGAGAUGGCGCAAGUGGGAGGGAAAGCUAUGAUAACCCGGGCUGCGCUGCAGGCAGGAGGGCACUGGCGGGCAAAGUUGAAGCCACCAUCUGUAGGACACGGAGAAAAGUUUGCCAAGUGACAAUGAAAAGACAGCAGCCAAGUCAAGGACAGAGGAGCUGAGCUGAAUCACCAGACAGCGGGACAAAG